AUCGGCGGGUCUAGCGCGGCCCCGGGCGAGCCUUAAAAGGAGCAGCAGGCGGCCGCUUUGCGCUGCAACCUGGAGGCAGUGAGGCCGAGGGGACUACGGGGCCCGGCGUGCAGCGCGCGCGCCUCCCGGCGUGCGUCGCGGCGCUGCUCCCGCGGGGCCGCUGCCGCCCCUGCCGCUCGCCGGGCCACCGUCUCGGCGCUGCUCCGAGCUCCGCGCCUCCCCCCGCCCCGGCUUUCGGGCCCUCGGGGCAGCGGGGGGCGGGUCGCGGAGGGAGGCGGCGCGCCCACGGGCCCCCUGCGCUCGCCUGCUCUCCCAGGCGGCCGCCUUUUGAAUCUCCCUCCCGGCCUCCGCGCGCUUGCGUCCCCGGCGCCCAUGUGUCUUGCAGGUCCGUGCGCCCCGGCUCUUCGGGAGUCGCGUGUAGUGCGGCUGCCUGUGCCUUGGGAACGUGUUUGACCCGUAGACAACCUUCAGUGUUUGUUGUUUUUCCCGUUCAAUGUUUACGCAUUGAACGCGGGCGAGGGCUUCCAGGCGGCGCAAGGCGCGCACACCAACACCUUUCCAUCUGCUUUUACCCUCAAACCGAAGCCCACGGGGCGGCCGGGGGAGGGCGGGGAGGGUAGACGGGCGCACACUCCUCCGGAGUCGGACCCGGCCAGCGGGUAGUUUCUGUGCGUGUCCAUGGAAAGCCGGCCCGGGAGCCGGUUCCGUCCCGGAUGGGCGCUCCGCGCAUACCAGCGAGUGCCCGUGAGAUAAAUGGGGGUCGGCAGGACGGAUACACGGCGCUUCUAAGGGGGUGUCUGUACCCAGGUCCCCCGAGAGCAGUGCCCUGGAGUGAAAAGAGAACCUUGAGCGGGAGAUCAGCUGGGGUUUCGCAGCGGUGGUGCCACCUGUAUGGUGACCUGUGGAGAGCGCUUUGCAAACAGCUGUUAAUAGCAGACGCUGAAGGCACCGCUGGGUUUUCUUCAGCCUGGGAAGUGAUCUGCAGGCGGAGAAGACAGGCGGCUAGAAACCAGAAGCGAGGCAAGGCAGUGGUGCAGAGUACGGAGGGAACUCCCUCAGGAGCCUAGAGCAAGAAAUCCAGAACUUUCCUGGGGAGAGAGCAGUAGUCUUACAUAGAGUGUCCUAUCAGACUGCAGCUGACGAAGUUCCUUCUCUUCUCUCAACGUCAAGUUCUCAAGCUGAGCAGAAGAUUCAGAGAAAAGGCCCCUCAUCUGUCCUUCAGUGGCUGGUGUUGGCAUGGAAAACCGUGCUGCACGUGUUGGCAGUUCUUCCAGGUAGCAUUCAGUGACUCGAGAGGAUCUCUCUCCUCACUCUUAGGGCCAAACAGCAGUAGAAACAUUUCAAGAUUUUAUCAACGUGAUUUUUCCAAAACCCAGGAAUCUUGUUACUUUGGAGUCAAAACAUUUCUCCCAGGCCUCAGAUACCUGUCCAACUAGAUCAUGUGAUGAAGUGUUUGCUAAAUAGUUUCUGCUGAUCUUCUUUAUCUUCCGAAAAAUCCGGCUUACUGUUUUCUCAAAAGUAUGCAAGUCACCUGUCAGUUCCAACACCAGGUGAAGAGCUCUCCCUUUGCCAAGCCCCCAGAUUUCCCUGUGCCCUUUUCCAGGUUUCCACAGGCUUCAGAGCAUCCUCAGGGGAAGUGGCCUUCAUUUGAGUGCAGCGUACCAGUUUGUAACCGCUCAGAACUUUGCGUUUCAUCCCCAUGAGGUUUCUCCUUUAGGCCCCUCUGUGAAGAAAGUGUGUUGUGACCUUGUCAGGCUUUCUUUCCAGGGGAGGUGAGACUUCUUAUGGAGCCGUCCAUUGCCGGGACACCCUCAGCACAGACUGUGAACACAGUUCCUUCAAUCAAGACAGAACUUUUGUUCCCAGAAGGGAAAACACUAAAGGUAUCAUGCUCUUUGCUGGUUCCAGGGGGACCUUUACCGCAGGCGAGUAGAGAUUUAUCACCAUUUACAAAUCUUACCAGCGCCGCACUGUGCUUAUUUAUUGGUAAAAUCUGUUGACUCAUCAACCUGAAUAGAGAAACUAUUGAUUUUCAGUUCAUGACACACAACUUUUCAGCAUCACGGAACAUGUCAUCGUUAUGUCAACUGAUCAUUCUAUUGAAAGUGGAAUCUUUUCAGUUUCUCAUAUUGAAUCUUUUCCUAGCAUUGUACAUGGUGGUCUUAUGAUAUUUUCACCAACUGUAUGACUUUUCCUCUUCUGAGUAGUAAGUAUGGCUACUAAAUAGUUCAUUGAGCCUUUCUACUGAAUGUAACUUUAAAAAACAAACUUGACUCCCUUUGAGUUUCCAGUAGCAUGUAAAAGAAUUAGCGCCUUUAUUAUCACACAGCUGUGAUUUGUAGUUAGGGUCUUCUCAAAUUUUGGGGAGGCACUGCUACAUUUUUAAGUUUUUGACAACACACAGUGGAAUAGGCAGCUUGGAUUACCAGCCAGCCUAAAACUCAUGAUAGGUAACUAACUGUAAAAUACCGACUUCUGCGCAUGGGCCACGAAGUUUGAAUCGCACUGUAUGUGUGCGCCCACACAUGGUAUUUUGUGGAAGAGCCACACUCAAGGGGCCAAAGAGCCUCAUGUGGCUUGCGAGCCGCAGUUUGCCAACCACUGCCUUAGGUCACCAAAGCAGCAGGGAUGGGCAGCUGAGUCACAAUGCGUUCAAAAAUGUCCUCCUUCUUGCCCUGACUUGUUUGGCUCAGUGGCUAGCGCGUCGGCCUGCGGACUGAAGGGUCCCGGGUUUGAUUCCGGUCAAGGGCAUGUACCUUGGUUGCGGGCACAUCCCCAGUAGGGGCUGUGCAGGAGGCAGCUAAUCGAUGUUUCUCUCUCAUUGAUGUUUCUAACUUUCUAUCCCUCUCCCUUCCUCUCUGUAAAAAAAUCAAUAAAAUAUAUU